rnacentral:rRNA from 1 species
GACGGAGGGUGCUAGCGUUGUUCGGAAUUACUGGGCGUAAAGGGCGCGUAGGCGGUCUCGUCAGUCGGGUGUGAAAGCCCGGGGCUCAACCCCGGAACGGCACCCGAGACGGCGGGACUGGAGACCGGGAGAGGAGGGUGGAAUAGCCAGUGUAGAGGUGAAAUUCGUAGAUAUUGGCUGGAACACCGGUGGCGAAAGCGGCUCUCUGGCCCGGUUCUGACGCUGAGGCGCGAAAGCGUGGGGAGCAAACAGG